rnacentral:rRNA from 1 species
CAGUCGCCACGGGAAUACGAAGGGGGCUAGCGUUGCUCGGAAUUACUGGGCGUAAAGGGAGCGUAGGCGGACUGUUUAGUCAGAGGUGGAAGCCCAGGGCUCAACCUUGGAAUUGCCUUUGAUACUGGCAGUCUUGAGUACGGAAGAGGUAUGUGGAACUCCGAGUGUAGAGGUGAAAUUCGUAGAUAUUCGGAAGAACACCAGUGGCGAAGGCGACAUACUGGUCCGUUACUGACGCUGAGGCUCGAAAGCGUGGGGAGCAAACAGGAUUAGAUACCCCUGUAGUCCCUGUCUCUUAUAC